rnacentral:tRNA from 1 species
GGCAGGUUGCCCGAGCGGCCAAAGGGAUCUGACUGUAAAUCAGACGGCUUCGCCUUCAUAGGUUCGAAUCCUAUACCUGCCA